UACGGGGGGGGCAAGCGUUGUUCGGAAUUACUGGGCGUAAAGCGCGUGUAGGCGGCGUAGCAAGUCGGGCGUGAAAGCCCACGGCUCAACCGUGGAAGAGCACUCGAAACUGCUGCGCUAGAGUUCUGGAGAGGAAGGCGGAAUGCUUGGUGUAGAGGUGAAAUUCGUAGAUAUCAAGCGGAACACCGGUGGCGAAGGCGGCCUUCUGGACAGUGACUGACGCUGAAACGCGAAAGCGUGGGGAGCAAACAGG
rnacentral:rRNA from 1 species